rnacentral:rRNA from 1 species
AUUGAACGCUGGCGGCAUGCCUUACACAUGCAAGUCGAACGGUAACGGGCCUUCGGGUGCCGACGAGUGGCGAACGGGUGAGUAUGUAUCGGAACGUACCUUUCAGUGGGGGAUAACGUAGCGGAAGUUACGCUAAUACCGCAUAUUCUGUGAGCAGGAAAGCAGGGGAUCGCAAGACCUUGCGCUGAUUGAGCGGCCGAUGUCAGAUUAGCUAGUUGGUGAGGUAAAGGCUCACCAAGGCGACGAUCUGUAGCGGGUCUGAGAGGAUGAUCCGCCACACUGGGACUGAGACACGGCCCAGACUCCUACGGGAGGCAGCAGUGGGGAAUUGUGGACAAUGGGGGCAACCCUGAUCCAGCCAUGCCGCGUGAGUGAAGAAGGCCUUCGGGUUGUAAAGCUCUUUCGGCCGGGAAGAAAUCGCACAGGCUAAUACCUUGUGUGGAUGACGGUACCGGAAUAAGAAGCACCGGCUAACUACGUGCCAGCCGCCGCCGUAAAAC